AGUUAUUUGGCUGAUAGCAAAGCAUGUGUUUUGAAAGCAUAUUAUAGAGGUUAGAAUCCUUUAAUAACUU
rnacentral:tRNA from 1 species